CCGAUGAGGUGGAAACGGACAGAGCUGGCGUAUCUGGCCUGCAUUCAGCCGCCGCGUGUCGGGCCCCGGUUUGCCGCACUCCAGAUUGGGAAGGUGGCUGGGCUGCUGGCGCGUUGGUGGUGCAUUUGCAGGUGGAGUGCGCCGAGGCGCUCGGCUCAGCGGCAUGAGCUCGGCCUUGAGGCCAACCGCGCAAGCGGUCUGGUACCCGGGUCGGGGGAGUGUUGUUUGGGCUGGGUGUUUGCUUGACGGACAAUGGUUUCGGGCCCGGGUGGGUGCCGAGCUGGAGGUCGGCGGCGGUCGCGUGCGACACGUGCCAGCACUCAGUUCGGUCCUGCUCGAGCUCCCUAUUUGUUCGGCCUCGGUGUAAAAGCCGGUCAUCUGUCCGACCCGUCUUGAAACACGGACCAAGGAGUUUAGCGUGUGCGCGAGUCAUUGGGCGUUGAAAACCCAAAGGCGCAAUGAAAGUGAAGGUCUGCCUCGUGCAGCUGAUGUGUGAUCCUGGGCGCCGCGGUGCCCGGGCGCAACAUAGUCCCGUCCCGACUGCUUGCAGUGGGGCGGAGACAGAGCGUACGCGCUGAG
rnacentral:rRNA from 1 species